rnacentral:rRNA from 1 species
AGAGUUUGAUCCUGGCUCAGGAUGAACGCUAGCGACAGGCUUAACACAUGCAAGUCGAGGGGCAGCAGGGGAGUAGCAAUACUCCCGCUGGCGACCGGCGCACGGGUGAGUAACACGUAUGCAACCUGCCCUUGUCAGGGGGAUAAGCGGGAGAAAUUCCGUCUAAUACCGCAUAAUACCUUAUGGGGACAUCCUCAUGAGGUCAAAGAUUUAUCGGACAAGGAUGGGCAUGCGUCGCAUUAGUUAGUUGGCGGUGUAACGGACCACCAAGACGACGAUGCGUAGGGGUUCUGAGAGGAAGGUCCCCCACACUGGUACUGAGACACGGACCAGACUCCUACGGGAGGCAGCAGUGAGGAAUAUUGGUCAAUGGGCGGGAGCCUGAACCAGCCAAAUCGCGUGAGGGAAGACGGUCCUAAGGAUUGUAAACCUCUUUUGUCAGGGAGCAAGGACUGCCACGAGUGGCAGGGCGAGAGUACCUGAAGAAAAAGCAUCGGCUAACUCCGUGCCAGCAGCCGCGGUAAUACGGAGGAUGCGAGCGUUAUCCGGAUUUAUUGGGUUUAAAGGGUGCGCAGGCGGACCGGAAAGUCAGCGGUAAAAUCGAGGAGCUCAACUCCUUCCAGCCGUUGAAACUGUCGGUCUAGAGUGGGCGAGAAGUAUGCGGAAUGCGUGGUGUAGCGGUGAAAUGCAUAGAUAUCACGCAGAACUCCGAUUGCGAAGGCAGCAUACCGGCGCCCAACUGACGCUCAGGCACGAAAGCGUGGGUAUCGAACAGGAUUAGAUACCCUGGUAGUCCACGCAGUAAACGAUGAAUAAUAAUUGUUCGGCGCGAAGGAGCGCUGGUGGAUAACUGAGGAAAGCGUUAAGUUUUCCUCCUGGGGAGUACGCCGGCAACGGGUGAAAACUCAAAGGAAAUUGACGAGGGGCCCGCACAAGCGGGAGGAACAUGGUGGUUUUAAUUCGGAUGAUACGCGAGGAACCUUACCCGGGCUCAAACGACAGACGGAUACUUUUGAAAGGAGGUAGCUCUUCGGAGCGUCUGUCGAGGUGCUGCAUGGUUGUCGUCAGCUCGUGCCGUGAGGUGUCGGCUUAAGUGCCAUAACGAGCGCAACCCCCAUCUACAGUUGCCAUCGGGUCAGGCUGGGCACUCUGUCGGGACUGCCGGCGCAAGCUGUGAGGAAGGCGGGGAUGACGUCAAAUCAGCACGGCCCUUACGUCCGGGGCGACACACGUGUUACAAUGGCGGGGACAGCGGGAAGCCACCUGGCGACAGGGAGCGGAACCCGAAAUCCUGUCUCAGUUCGGAUUGGAGUCUGCAACCCGACUCCAUGAAGCUGGAUUCGCUAGUAAUCGCGCAUCAGCCACGGCGCGGUGAAUACGUUCCCGGGCCUUGCACACACCGCCCGUCA